rnacentral:tRNA from 1 species
GGGGAUUUAGCUCAGUGGUAGAGCCCUUGCCUAGGAAGCGCAAGGCCCUGGGUUCGGUUCCCAGCUCCG